UGCUGGUGUGCCCUCCAAUAAGAGAUGUCCCCAAGUCAUCUCCCCAAGGGCAGAUUAGGGCUUCAUCGACGUGAAAUAGGAGGGAGCGCCCACUGGUCAGGGCUAUCAGACUUUGGCCUAACCCAGCCAUUCUUCACCAUUAGAGCUGCUUAGCGGUAGAGAUGGAUUCAUCCUGGAACCUUCCUAGAGACAGGAGUUUCUGGAGAGAAGGACACUUCCGGCCCCUGUCCUGAGAGCCCGGGACCGUGCUGACUACACUAUGGACAGCUGUUGGUCAGCAGAGGCCCCAUUAUGCUGGAUCAACAAACGACUCCAAGACCUUGUGACCUAACACGACAACUUCGUUUCUUACUAAGAGGACUCUCGUGCAAUGGCUCAGGCACAGAGGUGCCAUCCGGCCAUGUGCCACCAUGAUUAUGGACAUGUGGAAAAGGGAACGUGCUAAGCACUUGUCUUCGUUCUACGGGAAAUGUGAGUUCAACUCGGCGCCCUCAGACAAGAGGCCCUCGGCUCUCUUUCUCCUCCAGUGCAGUGUGUUUCAAAAUAAGAAAACAACCCUUCAGGCCGACCAUCGUCAUCUGUCAGCUUGAUACAGCUGUCAAUCAAUGUCACUAACUGGAAGAAAUGCUCGCUAUUCUAAGACCACCACCACCACCGUGUCUGCUUGUUACUGUGUAGACCAUUAUGAAGGCUAGGAGUCAUACAGAAAAGUGGGAGUAACUGUGAGAACUUCACGAAUGGAGAAGUAAAACGACGAAAAACAAAAACCACUGCCAACCGGUUAUCUUCUCUUUUGUGGCCAUUUA
rnacentral:lncRNA from 1 species